rnacentral:misc_RNA from 1 species
UUUUUUUUUAAUUUAAAUUUUUAAUUAUCACCAAUAUUGUCAAAGGCAAGCCAGGCUCUUGACUUGGUGGUGCCCAGGCAAUGUAGGUGCUGAUAAAGCCCAUCAUUUAGGUCUUGGUGAGACAACUUCAUCUAGGUACUGCAUAGAUUUGUACGUGGGCUGAGGCAUUAGUUGCCCAAGUGCUUGAUGGCUUGAGGUGCCCAGCUCAUUCACUCGAUGUUUGUUUGUUUAAUUUAUGUUUCUCUCAUUAAAUUCAGUUCUAAAUCCUGGAUUUGGGAGGCAUAUAUGACAAAGCAUGAAAUUGCAAUUAUAAAUUGCAAAAGGGAUGAAUUAUCCUUUUCCUUAGCUCUCCUUUUCCUUAGCUCCUAUUAGGGCAAAGGUACUUUCUUCCGAUCAUAAGUAGAAA